rnacentral:rRNA from 1 species
AGGGUUUGAUCCUGGCUCAGAUUGAACGCUGGCGGCAGGCCUAACACAUGCAAGUCGAACGGUAACAGAACUAGCUUGCUAGUUGCUGACGAGUGGCGGACGGGUGAGUAAUACUUAGGGAUCCGCCUCUGUGUGGGGGAUAACUAUUGGAAACGAUAGCUAAUACCGCAUAACGUCUACGGACCAAAGAGGGCUUCGGCUCUCGCGCAGAGAGGAACCUAAGCGAGAUUAGCUUGUUGGUGAGGUAAAGGCUCACCAAGGCGACGAUCUCUAGCUGUUCUGAGAGGAAGAUCAGCCACACUGGAACUGAGACACGGUCCAGACUCCUACGGGAGGCAGCAGUGGGGAAUAUUGCACAAUGGGGGCAACCCUGAUGCAGCCAUGCCGCGUGUGUGAAGAAGGCCUUCGGGUUGUAAAGCACUUUCAGUUGUGAGGAAAGGUUAGUAGUUAAUACCUGCUAGCUGUGACGUUAACAACAGAAGAAGCACCGGCUAACUCCGUGCCAGCAGCCGCGGUAAUACGGAGGGUGCGAGCGUUAAUCGGAAUUACUGGGCGUAAAGCGCACGCAGGCGGUCUGUUAAGCUAGAUGUGAAAGCCCCGCGCUCAACGUGGGAGGGUCAUUUAGAACUGGCAGACUAGAGUCUUGGAGAGGGGAGUGGAAUUCCAGGUGUAGCGGUGAAAUGCGUAGAGAUCUGGAGGAACAUCAAUGGCGAAGGCAACUCCCUGGCCAAAGACUGACGCUCAUGUGCGAAAGUGUGGGUAGCGAACAGGAUUAGAUACCCUGGUAGUCCACACCGUAAACGCUGUCUACUAGCCGUUGGGAAACUUGAUUUCUUAGUGGCGCAGCUAACGCACUAAGUAGACCGCCUGGGGAGUACGGCCGCAAGGUUAAAACUCAAAUGAAUUGACGGGGGCCCGCAC